CCACAUUCGUCACCAUGGCCUGAGAGAUCAGUGUGAGGUAGUCCUCCCUGACUCUGAGACCUCUCUCCUACUACUGGCCUCCUCCUCCUCUGGGCUCAGCUACACUGGACUCACACUCAGUUAACGUGUGCCAGGCUCAGCACCUUUGUCUUGGGUGGGCCUCUGCCUAGAGCGCGGCACCCCAGAUUCACAAGCGGCUGGCUCCUCUAUAUUCAGAUGACUAAGAGACACUCCAAGCGGGCUUCUUAACUAAGGUGGCAAGCCAUAGUGAUAGAAGCCCUCCACACAUGUGCUGGAAUUGUCCAUUCACCACACUGGAAGAUUUAUACACCGGCACUGUCCAACGUUAACUUCAGCAGCCAGGUCCAUUUUUCAUUUCAAGCUCAUGUGAGAGGACUCUUUAACGUCUACUUAAAAGAUUCGGCAAGGCCAUAAAAUGAAACUCUAACAAGUUGCUUUGUGAACUACUCUUCCAGUUUUAGCCCUGCUGCCAAUUAUUUCUUCAAUGGCUUUAUUCAUCCUAAAACUACUGUACCUUACUUUCUCAUAAAAGUGAGAUGACCCUGACUUUCUGAAGAGCAAAGCCUGCUAUUAGGGCUUCCCGGUAUGUCCCAGCUGAGGAGGGAGAAUGACAGAUGAUAAAUGUUUAUGUUUCAGAGAUAGGAGUGGGGAGUAAUAACACGUAAAAAAAGAGCUCAACUCUAUGGAGAGAAUGAAGUAAAAGAGUUAGCAUGUAUUGCAUGCUUAUGUGUCUUAACUCAUUUAAUCCUCCUGAUCACAUGAUGAGUCAUAUGCUAUUAUUUAUGAAAAUUUAUACAUGAUAAAAAAGAUGCAGGAAGAGAGGUCAAAUAACUUUUGCCCAAUGUCAUCAGCCAUUACUUUCCUUCCAAGAAAAGACCUGGUGUCAGACUUGCAUGAUAAUGAUGAUGUGAAAAAGAAGAAAAGAAGAAUUAUAAUUUGCCUUUAAUUUCAA